rnacentral:rRNA from 1 species
UACGAAGGGUGCAAGCGUUACUCGGAAUUACUGGGCGUAAAGCGUGCGUAGGCGGUUCGUUAAGUCUGUCGUGGAAGCCCUGGGCUCAACCUGGGAAUUGCGAUGGAUACUGGCGAGCUAGAGUACGGUAGAGGAUGGUGGAAUUCCCGGUGUAGCGGUGAAAUGCGUAGAGAUCGGGAGGAACACCCGUGGCGAAGGCGGCCAUCUGGACCAGUACUGACGCUGAGGCACGAAAGCGUGGGGAGCAAACAGG